rnacentral:rRNA from 1 species
AGUGAACGCUGGCGGUAGGCCUAACACAUGCAAGUCGAACGGCAGCACAGUAAGAGCUUGCUCUUACGGGUGGCGAGUGGCGGACGGGUGAGGAAUACAUCGGAAUCUACUUUUUCGUGGGGGAUAACGGAGGGAAACUUACGCUAAUACCGCAUACGACCUACGGGUGAAAGCAGGGGAUCUUCGGACCUUUCGCGAUUGAAUGAGCCGAUGUCGGAUUAGCUAGUUGGCGGGGUAAAGGCCCACCAAGGCGACGAUCCGUAGCUGGUCUGAGAGGAUGAUCAGCCACACUGGAACUGAGACACGGUCCAGACUCCUACGGGAGGCAGCAGUGGGGAAUAUUGGACAAUGGGCGAAAGCCUGAUCCAGCCAUACCGCGUGGGUGAAGAAGGCCUUCGGGUUGUAAAGCCCUUUUGUUGGGAAAGAAAAGCAGCAGGUUAAUCCCCCGCUGUUCUGACGGUACCCAAAGAAUAAGCACCGGCUAACUUCGUG